rnacentral:RNase_P_RNA from 2 species
GGGAGUAGGAGGGCUGCUGACAGUGUACGACACUGAGGAAAGUCCCCUCUCCACCAUGCAGGUGACCCGAUUCAGUUCGGGAGUCCGGGAGGACUGGCUCUGCUUAAGCAACGAACCGGUGCAGUCGAGUACUAUGAAUCCGAAAGGAGGAGAUUGUCUGUUACUGGCUGAGACGAGCAACCACGCUGGUGCAAGUCCAAACAGUUCUGUUGACGCGUAUGGAAGAGGAACGGGUAGGACGCUAAGUUGAAUGCAGCUAACCGAAAGGCGAACAAAAAGGGGCUUACUCCCUACUCCC